UUCGAAUAGCGCGGGUUGUAAUUGAUAAAGGCAAAGCCGCGGGCCUGAUCAAUCGCGUGAAACAGGGGGUUCCAGUCGAACAUGGCCAGCAUGAAACUGGGCAAGGUGUUAGCCACAAACAUUUUGCCCGACGCCAGCAUGUUUGCCCGUUG
rfam:Sulfitobacter geojensis strain EhN01 A2_Contig9, whole genome shotgun sequence.